rnacentral:rRNA from 1 species
GACGAACGCUGGCGGCGUGCUUAACACAUGCAAGUCGAACGGAAAGGCCCUGCUUUUGUGCGGUGCUCGAGUGGCGAACGGGUGAGUAACACGUGAGUAACCUGCCCUUGACUUUGGGAUAACUUCAGGAAACUGGGGCUAAUACCGGAUAGGAGCUCUUGCUGCAUGGUGGGGGUUGGAAAGUUUCGGCGGUUGGGGAUGGACUCGCGGCUUAUCAGCUUGUUGGUGGGGUAGUGGCUUACCAAGGCUUCGACGGGUAGCCGGCCUGAGAGGGUGACCGGCCACAUUGCGCCUGAGAUACGGCCCAGACUCCUAUGGGAGGCAGCAGUGGGGAAUAUUGCACAGUGGGCGGAAGCCUGAUGCAGCAACGCCGCGUGCGGGAUGACGGCCUUCUGGUUAUAAACCGCUUUCGCCUGUGACGAAGCGUGAGUGACGGUAAUGGGUAAAGAAGCACCGGCUAACUACGUG